rnacentral:rRNA from 1 species
UACGUAGGGGGCGAGCGUUGUCCGGAGUUACUGGGCGUAAAGCGCACGCAGGCGGUCUGCUAAGUUUGGAGUGACAGUUGGUGGCUUAACUGCCAAAGUGCUUCGAAAACUGACAGACUUGAGGGCUUCAGAGGGACACGGAAUUCCGGGUGGAGUGGUGAAAUGACGUAGAGAUCCGGAGGAACACCAAAGGCGAAGGCAGUGUCCUGGGGAGUACCUGACGCUCAGGUGCGAAAGCCAGGGGAGCGAACGGG